rnacentral:rRNA from 1 species
CCCUUAGAUGUUCUGGGCCGCACGCGCGCUACAAUGAUGAAUUCAACGAGUUUAUAACCUUGGUUGAAAAGCCUGGGUAAUCUUUUGAACUUUCGUCGUGAUGGGGCUAGACCCUUGCAAUUAUUGGUCUCCAACGAGGAAUUCCUAGUAAACGCAAGUCAUCAGCUUGCAUUGAUUACGUCCCUGCCCUUUGUACACACCGCCCGUCGCACCUACCGAUUGAAUGGUCCGGUGAAAUCUUCGGAUUGAGACUUUGAUUUCUUCACGGAAAACGCUGUUUUAAAAAGUUGAUUAAACCUUACCAUUUAGAGGAGGGUGAAGUCGUAACA